rnacentral:rRNA from 1 species
AAUACAUGCAAGUMGAGCGGACAGAUGGGAGCUUGCUCCCUGAUGUUAGCGGCGGACGGGUGAGUAACACGUGGGUAACCUGCCUGUAAGACUGGGAUAACUCCGGGAAACCGGGGCUAAUACCGGAUGCUUGUUUGAACCGCAUGGUUCAAACAUAAAAGGUGGCUUCGGCUACCACUUACAGAUGGACCCGCGGCGCAUUAGCUAGUUGGUGAGGUAAUGGCUCACCAAGGCGACGAUSCGUAGCCGACCUGASAGGGYGAUCGGCCMCACUGGGACUGAGACACGGCCCAGACUCCUACGGGAGGCAGCAGUAGGGAAUCUUCCGCAAUGGACGAAAGUCUGACGGAGCAACGCCGCGUGAGUGAUGAAGGUUUUCGGAUCGUAAAGCUCUGUUGUUAGGGAAGAACAAGUACCGUUCGAAUAGGGCGGUACCUUGACGGUACCUAACCAGAAAGCCACGGCUAACUACGUGCCAGCAGCCGCGGUAAUACGUAGGUGGCAAGCGUUGUCCGGAAUUAUUGGGCGUAAAGGGCUCSCAGGCGGUUUCUUAAGUCUGAUGUGAAASCCCCCGGCUCAACCGGGGAGGGUCAUUGGAAACUGGGGAACUYGAGUGCAGAAGAGGAGAGUGGAAUUCCMCGUGUAGCGG